UCGGGUGUGGCGCACGGAGCGCGGCGAUUUCUCGUAUACCGACCCGAUAGAGAAUGCAAGUUGCAGGUCCGGGUUCGAAUCCCGGCGCCCGAC